rnacentral:rRNA from 1 species
CCUACGUGUGGCAGCAGUGGGGAAUAUUGGACAAUGGGCGAAAGCCUGAUCCAGCCAUGCCGCGUGUGUGAAGAAGGCCUUCGGGUUGUAAAGCACUUUCAGUGGGGAAGAAAGCCUUGGGGCUAAUACCCUCGAGGAAGGACAUCACCCACAGAAGAAGCACCGGCUAACUCCGUGCCAGCAGCCGCGGUAAUACGGAGGGUGCGAGCGUUAAUCGGAAUUACUGGGCGUAAAGCGCGCGUAGGCGGUCUGAUAAGCCGGUUGUGAAAGCCCCGGGCUCAACCUGGGAACGGCAGCCGGAACUGUCAGGCUAGAGUGCAGGAGAGGAAGGUAGAAUUCCCGGUGUAGCGGUGAAAUGCGUAGAGAUCGGGAGGAAUACCAGUGGCGAAGGCGGCCUUCUGGACUGACACUGACGCUGAGGUGCGAAAGCGUGGGUAGCAAACAGGAUUAGAUACCCCAGUAGUC